ACGAACGCUGGCGGCGUGCUUAACUCAUGCAAGUCGAACGGAAAGGCCCUGCUUUUGUGGGGUGCUCGAGUGGCGAACGGGUGAGUAACACGUGAGUAACCUGCCCUUGACUUUGGGAUAACUUCAGGAAACUGGGGCUAAUACCGGAUAGGAGCUCCUGCUGCAUGGUGGGGGUUGGAAAGUUUCGGCGGUUGGGGAUGGACUCGCGGCUUAUCAGCUUGUUGGUGGGGUAGUGGCUUACCAAGGCUUUGACGGGUAGCCGGCCUGAGAGGGUGACCGGCCACAUUGGGACUGAGAUACGGCCCAGACUCCUACGGGAGGCAGCAGUGGGGAAUAUUGCACAAUGGGCGGAAGCCUGAUGCAGCAACGCCGCGUGCGGGAUGACGGCCUUCGGGUUGUAAACCGCUUUCGCCUGUGACGAAGCGUGAGUGACGGUAAUGGGUAAAGAAGCACCGGCUAACUACGUG
rnacentral:rRNA from 1 species